GGCUCCGUAGCUCAGCUAGUAGAGCAUGCGCGUAGGAAGCGUCCAUGCGUGAGUUCGAAACCCAUCGAGGCUA
rfam:Echinostoma caproni strain Egypt genome assembly, scaffold: ECPE_scaffold0000186